AGUAGGAAAUGAAGUUGUAGCCAUGGAUGAUGUAACAUAGCAGCCAUUGUAACCCGAAGCUGCUGACAGUAGCCGAAGUUCAUCACCAUACCUGGCUGUCAUCACACGUACAUUUUCCGUAUCAACAAAUCUGCGCCCGGAGCUCCACGGACAGUUGAGGAGGCUAUUUUCACAGCAAUACGUAGAAACAAAAGUCCGAAAAGCUGUCGAGGAUUAGAAUCAGCUUAAACGCAAUGACAGGGAUGUGAUCGCAGCGCAUGUGAAUUAAAUACUGCUGAAAAUAGUCUAUAUUCCUUACUCAUCACUAUACAGUAUGUUGCACGGUAUACUCUUCCCGUUACCAGUUGUUCGGUGUCUAUUUCUGGAGCUGGAACAGAAUGUUCUGUUUGACAUUUCAACGGGUCAACCUGAAUGCUGCUACACGAUGAAACAACUGACAAGGCUCGGGUUGUCUGGAGGAGAAAUAGACUUUGAUUAGUUUAGUCUUUGCAAACCCAAAGUAAAUGUUUAAUACUAACCUCAUGUAGUUUAUAUAAGAUAAAGUGUUUUUUUUUUUUUCGUGUAUGAAAAUGACAGUCAGAAACCAUUUGGAGCACAGUUGACUCAUUACUUACUUUUUAUGUCUCCGGGAGAAGCCCGGGAGGAGAGGGGUGGUCAUGCCUCCACCUCUGAAAAAUGGGUCUGCGGGGAGGGGCUAAAAUGAGGCAAUUUGAGUAAUUUAUCCUCGUCCCUCCAAAAACCCCCGCAAUUCCCAUAAUUAUCAUCCCAUCCUGCCCCUUUCACUAGGAUACAGACAGAAUGCGGGAGAUUUGACCACUAUUCUGGGGGUGCGGGGAACUACCCAAUAAAACGGGAGUCUCCUGCAAGUUCCAGGAGAGUUGGCUGUCUCUGAGUAUGCUCAUUGGUAGAGGUGCCUCUUGGCGUGUAGGAGUAGUAUUCUAUCUUUCAUGUAACACCCCCACCCGCUUCACAAUCUGAUGAUGAUCAUAGGUGGUCAUUCCGAGUUGUUCGCUCGUUGCCGAUUUUUGCUAUUCUGCGAUUUGCUGCUAAAUGCGCAUGGUACGCAGAGCGCAUGCGCUAAGUUAUUUUACACAAAACUUAGUAGAUUUGCUGGUGUUCUUGCGGCGCUUUUCAGUCGCUCUGCUGAUCGGUGAAUGAUUGACAGGAAGUGGGUGUUUCUGGGUGGUAACUGAGCGUUUUCCGGGAGUGUGCUAAAAAACGCAGGCGUGUCAGGGAAAAACGCGGGAGUGUCUGGAGAAAUGGGGUAGUGGCUGGCCGAACGCAGGGCGUGUUUGUGACGUCAAACCAGGAACUAAACGGACUGAGCUGAUCGCAAUCUGUGAGUAGGUCUGGAGCUACUCAGAAACUGCAGGGAAUUAUUUAGUAGCAAUUCUGCUAAUCUUUCGUUCGCUAUUCUGCUAAGCUAAGAUACACUCCCAGAGGGCGGCGGCCUAGCGUUUGCAAUGCUGCUAAAAGCAGCUAGCGAGCGAACAACUCGGAAUGAGGGCCAUGAUCAGGCUUAUUGGGGCAGAUGUAUUAAGCCUGGAGACGGCAUACAGAAGUGAUAAAGCGGUGAUAAGUGCAAGGUGAUAAUGCACCAGCCAAUCAGCUCAUAACUGUCAGUUUACAUAUUGGAGUUGAUUGGCUGGUGUGUUAUCGCCUUGCACUUAUCACUUCUUUAUCUCUUCUCCAGGUUAAUACAUCUGCCCCAUAAUUCCAGGUAGGGAUUGAACACUAGUCGCAGGAAGUUCGAAUAUGUGCAUAAAAACUCUCCUAAGGACACUUGUUCCUGGUGUCUCCAUCAGAAAGGACAUCUCUUUAGCCACUGGAACAAUCAUGUAACGGUGACAACUAUUGUAAAUCCUGGCAUUCUGUAAAAAUAAAAAGCAUUGGAACCGU